AGGGUUUGAUCCUGGCUCAGAACGAACGGUGGCGGUGUGCUUAUUACAUGCAAGUCGAGCGAUUUUCGGUUUCGGCCGGAAAGAGCGGCGAAAGGGUGAGUAAUGUAUAGAUAACCUACCCUUGAGUGGGGAAUAACAGUUCGAAAGGACUGCUAAUACCGCAUACGAUUGGGAGCGCACCUGCGCAUCCAAUGAAAGUGGGGGACCUUCGGGCCUCACGCUCGGGGAGGGGUUUAUAUCCUAUUAGCUAGUUGGUAGAGUAAAAGCCUACCAAGGCGAUGAUGGGUAGCCGGCCUGAGAGGGUGUACGGCCACACGGGCACUGAGACACGGGCCCGACUCCUACGGGAGGCAGCAGUAAGGAAUAUUGGGCAAUGGGGGCAACCCUGACCCAGCGACACCGCGUGGAGGAUGAAGGCUUUCGGGUUGUAAACUCCUAACACGUAUUAGGAAGGUACUAUGGGCCAAUACCCCGCAGUAUUAGACGUAAAUACGAAAUGAAGCCAUGGCUAACUCUGUGCCAGCAGCCGCGGUAAUACAGAGAUGGCAACCGUUGUUCGGAAUUACUGGGCUUAAAGAGCACGUAGGCGGGAAGUUAAGUCGGUUGUGAAAUUUCAUGGCUCACCCAUGAACGUGCAGUCGAUACUGGCUACCUCGAGUGCAGUAGGGGAGAGUGGAACUCCUGGUGGAGCGGUGAAAUGUGUUGAUAUCAGGAGGAACGCCGGAGGCGAAAGCGACUCUCUGGACUGCAACUGACGCUGAGGUGCGAAAGCUAGGGGAGCAAACGGGAUUAGAUACCCCGGUAGUCCUAGCCGUAAACGAUGAGCACUAGGUAGGGGGAGCAAUUUCUCUGCUGUAGCAAAAGUAUUAAGUGCUCCGCCUGGGGAGUAUGGUCGCAAGGCUGAAACUCAAAGGAAUUGACGGGGGCUCGCACAAGCGGUGGAGCAUGUGGUUUAAUUCGAAUCAACGCGAAGAACCUUACCUGGACUUGACAUUCUAGGAUUAACCGCCUGAAAGGGUGGCGACGCUCUUCGGAGUGGAACUAGAACAGGUGUAGCAUGGCUGUCGUCAGCUCGUGCCGUGAGGUGUUGGGUUAAGUCCCAUAACGAGCGAAACCUUUGUCCUUAGUUGCCAGCGGUUCGGCCGGGGACUCUAAGGAGACUGCGUACGUUAAGUGCGAGGAAGGUGAGACGACGUCAAGUCAUCAUGGCCCUUAUGUCCAGGGCUACACACGUGCUACAAUGGUCGGUACAAAGGGAUGCAAGACCGAGAGGUGGAGCCAACCCCAAAAAGCCGGCCUCAGUUCGGAUUGAGGGCUGCAAUUCGCCCUCAUGAAGUUGGAAUCGCUAGUAAUCGUGGGUCAGCCAUACCACGGUGAACGUGUUCCCGAGCCUUGUACACACCGCCCGUCAAGCCACCGAAGCAGGGGUGGCCCGAAGUCACUGACCCAACCGCUUGCGGAGGGAGGUGCCCAAGGAAACUUCUGUGACGGGGACUAAGUCGUAACAAGGUA
rnacentral:rRNA from 1 species